rnacentral:sRNA from 1 species
ACUAAACUAGAUUUUAACCCGCGGUAUACCGCAGGGACAAUUUAUUUUUUAAAGUUAGUAUUU